UACGUAGGGGGCGAGCGUUGUCCGGAUUCAUUGGGCGUAAAGCGCGCGCAGGCGGCUGGGCAAGUCGGCCGUGAAAUCUCCGGGCUUAACUCGGAGGGGUCGGGCGAGACUGCACAGCUCGAGGCCGGUAGGGGGAAGUGGAAUUCCCGGUGUAGUGGUGGAAUGCGUAGAUAUCGGGAGGAACACCAGUGGCGAAGGCGGCUUCCUGGACCGGUUCUGACACUGAGGAGCGAAAGCGUGGGGAGCGAUCCGG
rnacentral:rRNA from 1 species